rnacentral:misc_RNA from 2 species
AACGCACAUUGCGCCCUCUGGUAUUCCAGAGGGCAUACCUGUUUGAGCGUCAUUUCAUUCUUAAAUCUAUGGAUUUAGUGUUGGACAAUUCUUCGAAAGAAGAUGGUCUGAAAUGAAUUUUGGCAGAGGCGACUAUAUAAGCUUUUACAACGUAUUAGGUUUUACCAUCUCGUUGGAAAUAUACGGUGAAUAUAGCAGCUUUGGCGUUAUAACUAAAACUUCAAAAGUUUGACCUCAAAUCAGGCAAGAUUACCCGCUGAACUUAA